rnacentral:rRNA from 1 species
GAUGAACGCUAGCUAUAGGCUUAACACAUGCAAGUCGAGGGGCAGCGAAUAGAUAGCUUGCUUAUUUAUGUCGGCGACCCGGCCGCACGGGGUGAGGUAACGGCGUAUCCAACCUGCCAUAACGUAAGGGACUAACCCAGCGAAAGUUGGACUAAUACCUUAUGUAUUCGUUUGAUCUCAUGAGAUUACGAAUAAAGAUUUAUCGGUUAUGGAUGGGGAUGCGUCUGAUUAGCUUGUUGGCGGGGUAACGGCCCACCAAGGCAACGAUCAGUAGGGGUUCUGAGAGGAAGGUCCCCCACAUUGGAACUGAGACACGGUCCAAAACUCCUACGGGGAGGCAGCAGUGAGGAAUAUUGGUCAAUGGACGCAAGUCUGAACCAGCCAAGUAGCGUGCAGGAUGACGGCCCUAUGGGUUGUAAACUGCUUUUAUAUGGGGAUAAAGUGGGGAACGUGUUCCCUUUUGCAGGUACCAUAUGAAUAAGGACCGGCUAAUUCCGUGCCAGCAGCCGCGGUAAU